UACGGAGGGUGCGAGCGUUGUUCGGAAUCACUGGGCGUAAAGGGCGUGUAGGCGGUCUGUUAAGUCUGAUGUGAAAGCCCGGGGCUCACCCCCGGAAGUGCAUUGGAUACUGGCGGACUCGAGUCUCGGAGAGGAGGGUGGAAUUCCUGGUGUAGCGGUGAAAUGCGUAGAUAUCAGGAGGAACACCUGAGGUGAAGACGGGUUGCUGGGCUGACACUGACGCUGAGGCGCGAAAGCCAGGGGAGCAAACGGG
rnacentral:rRNA from 1 species